rnacentral:ncRNA from 1 species
GUUCUUCAGGGCAGGGUGCAAUUCCCUACCGGCGGUAAAGCCCGCGAGCCGAAAGGCAUGAUUUGGUGUAAUUCCAAAGCCGACAGUAUAGUCUGGAUGAAAGAAGAU